rnacentral:tRNA from 1 species
GCCCCCGUAGCUCAGUGGAUAGAGCAGCGGUUUCCUAAACCGCGUGCACAGGUUCAAUUCCUGUCGGGGGCA